UACAGAGGGUGCGAGCGUUAAUCGGAAUUACUGGGCGUAAAGCGUGCGCAGGCGGUGAUGUAAGACCGAUGUGAAAUCCCCGGGCUUAACCUGGGAACUGCAUUGGUGACUGCAUUGCUGGAGUAUGGCAGAGGGGGGUGGAAUUCCACGUGUAGCAGUGAAAUGCGUAGAGAUGUGGAGGAACACCGAUGGCGAAGGCAGCCCCCUGGGCCAAUACUGACGCUCAUGCACGAAAGCGUGGGGAGCAAAC
rnacentral:rRNA from 1 species